AGCNCGAAAGCAUGGGAGCAAACAGGAUUAGAUACCCUGGUAGUCCAUGCCGUAAACGAUGAGCACUAGGUGUCGGGGGUCGAACCUCGGUGCCGCAGUUAACACAUUAAGUGCUCCGCCUGGGGAGUACGGUCGCAAGAUUAAAACUCAAAGGAAUUGACGGGGGCCCGCACAAGUAGCGGAGCAUGUGGUUUAAUUCGACGCAACGCGAAGAACCUUACCUAGACUUGACAUCCUAAGAAUCUGGUGGAAACAUCGGAGUGCCCUUCGGGGAACUUAGUGACAGGUGGUGCAUGGUUGUCGUCAGCUCGUGUCGUGAGAUGUUGGGUUAAGUCCCGCAACGAGCGCAACCCUUAUCGUUAGUUGCUACCAUUAAGUUGAGCACUCUAGCGAGACUGCCUGGGUAACCAGGAGGAAGGUGGGGAUGACGUCAAAUCAUCAUGCCCCUUAUGUCUAGGGCUACACACGUGCUACAAUGGCUGGUACAAUGAGCUGCAAACCCGCGAGGGGGAGCCAAUCUAUAAAACCAGUCCCAGUUCGGAUUGCAGGCUGAAACUCGCCUACAUGAAGUUGGAGUUACUAGUAAUCGUGAAUCAGAAUGUCA
rnacentral:rRNA from 1 species